rnacentral:rRNA from 1 species
UACGUAGGGUGCAAGCGUUGUCUGGAAUUAUUGGGCGUAAAGAGCUCGUAGGCGGCUUGUCGCGUCGGCUGUGAAAACCUAGGGCUCAACCCUGGGCCUGCAGCCGAUACGGGCAAGCUAGAAUUCGGUAGGGGAGACUGGAAUUCCUGGUGUAGCGGUGAAAUGCGCAGAUAUCAGGAGGAACACCGGUGGCGAAGGCGGGUCUCUGGGCCGAUAUUGACGCUGAGGAGCGAAAGCGUGGGGAGCGAACAGG